GUCGGCGUGGCGGAACGGUAGACGCGCCAGACUUAGGAUCUGGUGGGCAAUCCCCGUGGAGGUUCGAAUCCUCUCGCCGACACCA
rnacentral:tRNA from 1 species